rnacentral:rRNA from 1 species
UCGAGCGGAAGGCUCCUUCGGGGGUACUCGAGCGGCGAACGGGUGAGUAACACGUGAGUAAUCUGCCCUGCGCUCUGGGAUAGCCACCGGAAACGGUGAUUAAUACCGGAUAUGACUGCUACCCGCAUGGGUUGGUGGUGGAAAGUUUUUUCGGCGCAGGAUGUGCUCGCGGCCUAUCAGCUUGUUGGUGAGGUAAUGGCUCACCAAGGCUUUGACGGGUAGCCGGCCUGAGAGGGUGACCGGUCACACUGGGACUGAGACACGGCCCAGACUCCUACGGGAGGCAGCAGUGGGGAAUAUUGGACAAUGGGCGGAAGCCUGAUCCAGCAACGCCGCGUGAGGGAUGACGGCCUUCGGGUUGUAAACCUCUUUCAGUACCGACGAAGCGAGAGUGACGGUAGGUACAGAAGAAGGACCGGCCAACUACGUGCCAGCAGCCGCGGUAAUACGUAGGGUCCGAGCGUUGUCCGGAAUUAUUGGGCGUAAAGGGCUCGUAGGCGGUUUGUCGCGUCGGGAGUGAAAACAGCGGGCUUAACUCGUUGCUUGCUUCCGAUACGGGCAGACUAGAGGUAUGCAGGGGAGAAUGGAAUUCCUGGUGUAGCGGUGAAAUGCGCAGAUAUCAGGAGGAACACCGGUGGCGAAGGCGGUUCUCUGGGCAUUACCUGACGCUGAGGAGCGAAAGUGUGGGGAGCGAACAGGAUUAGAUACCCUGGUAGUCCACACCGUAAACGUUGGGCGCUAGGUGUGGGGUCCUUUCCACGGAUUCCGUGCCGUAGCUAACGCAUUAAGCGCCCCGCC